GCCGCGUGUGUGAAGAAGGCCUUCGGGUUGUAAAGCACUUUCAGUUGUGAGGAAAAGUUAGUAGUUAAUACCUGCUAGCCGUGACGUUAACAACAGAAGAAGCACCGGCUAACUCCGUGCCAGCAGCCGCGGUAAUACGGAGGGUGCGAGCGUUAAUCGGAAUUACUGGGCGUAAAGCGCACGCAGGCGGUUUGUUAAGCUAGAUGUGAAAGCCCCGGGCUCAACCUGGGAUGGUCAUUUAGAACUGGCAGACUAGAGUCUUGGAGAGGGGAGUGGAAUUCCAGGUGUAGCGGUGAAAUGCGUAGAUAUCUGGAGGAACAUCAGUGGCGAAGGCGACUCCCUGGCCAAAGACUGACGCUCAUGUGCGAAAGUGUGGGUAGCGAACAGGAUUAGAUACCCUGGUAGUCCACACCGUAAACGCUGUCUACUAGCUGUGUGUGUCUUUAAGACGUGCGUAGCGAAGCUAACGCGCUAAGUAGACCGCCUGGGGAGUACGGCCGCAAGGUUAAAACUCAAAUGAAUUGACGGGGGCCCGCACAAGCGGUGGAGCAUGUGGUUUAAUUCGAUGCAACGCGAAGAACCUUACCUACACUUGACAUGCUGAGAACUUACUAGAGAUAGAUUCGUGCCUUCGGGAACUCUGACACAGGUGCUGCAUGGCUGUCGUCAGCUCGUGUCGUGAGAUGUUGGGUUAAGUCCCGCAACGAGCGCAACCCUUGUCCUUAGUUGCCAGCCUUAAGUUGGGCACUCUAAGGAGACUGCCGGUGACAAACCGGAGGAAGGUGGGG
rnacentral:rRNA from 1 species